rnacentral:lncRNA from 1 species
CUGGCUUAAGGUUGGUCUGCAGGUGGCCUCCAGGUGCAAAGUGGGAAGUGUGAGUCCUCAGUCUUGGGCUAUUCGGCCACGUGCCUGCCGGACAUGGGACGCUGGAGGGUCAGCAGCGUGGAGUCCUGGCCUUUUGCGUCCACGGGUGGGAAAUUGGCCAUUGCCACGGCGGGAACUGGGACUCAGGCUGCCUCCCGGCCGUUUCUCAUCAGUCCACUGGACUCGUGGGCGCUCGCACUGGCGCUGAUGUAGUUUCCUGACCUCUGACCCGUAUUGUCUCCAGAUUAAAGGUACGACAUUUGGAGGCCCCAGCGAGAAACGCCACCGGGCGAGAGCCGGGCCCGCUGUGUGCUCCCCCGGAAGGACAGCCAGCUUGUAGGGGGGAGCGCCACCUGAAAAAAAAUUUCCAGGUCCCCAAAGGGUGACCGUCUUCCGGAGGACAGCGGAUCGACUACCAUGUGGGUGCCCACAAAAAUUCCACCUCUGAGUCCUCAACUGCUGACCCCGGGGUCAGGUACAAGAUAUCAUCCUGCCACUUGUUCGAGGAACCCAUCCGAAUCCAAUUCCUGACCAGACAGGGUCCUGCCAUUCGUUCCAGCCAGGAGACCUAGUGUUUGUUAAAAAGUUCAGAGAGAAGGACUCCCUCCUGCUUGGAAGAGACCUCACACCGUCAUCACGAUGCCAACGGCUCUGAAGGUGGAUGGCAUUCCUGCUUGGAUUCAUCACUCCCGCAUCAAAAAGGCCAACAGAGCCCAACUGGAAACAUGGGUCCCCAGGGCUGGGUCAGGCCCCUUAAAACUGCACCUAAGUUGGGUGAAGCCAUUAGAUUAAUUAUUUUUCUUAAUUUUGUAAAACAAUGCAUAGCUUCUGUCAAACUUAUGUAUCUUAAGACUCAAUAUAACCCCCUUGUUAUAACCGAGGAAUCAAUGAUUUGAUUCCCCAAAAACACAAGUGGGGAAUGUAGUGUCCAACCUGGUUUUUACUAACCCUGUUUUUAGACUCUCCCUUUUCCUUUAAUCACCUAGCCUUGUUUCCACCUGAAUUGACUCUCCCUUAGCUAAGAGUGCCAGAUGGACUCCAUCUUGGCUCUUUCACUGGCAGCCCCUUCCUCAAGGACUUAACUUGUGCAAGCUGACUCCCAGCACAUCCAAGAAUGCAAUUAACUGAUAAGAUACUGUGGCAAGCUAUAUCCGCAAUUCCCAGGAAUUCGUCUGAUUGAUAACGCCCAAAGCCCCCGGUCUAUCACCUUGUAAUAGUCUUAAAGCCCCUGCACCUGGAACUAUUAACUUUCCUGUAACCAUUUAUCCUUUUAACUUUUUUGCUUACUUUAUUUCUGUAAAAUUGUUUUAACUAGACCCCCCCUCUCCUUUCUAAACCAAAGUAUAAAAGCAAAUCUAGCCCCUUCUUCAGGGCUGAGAGCAUUUUGAGCAUUAGCCGUCUCUUGGCCACCGGCUAAAUAAAC